UCCAGGGUAGCCGAGUGGAGAAGGCACCUGCCCGGUAAGCAGAAGGGUGUGGGUUCGAUUCCCGCCCCUGGAC